AUUGAACGCUGGCGGCAGGCUUAACACAUGCAAGUCGAGCGGAGAUGAGGUGCUUGCACCUUAUCUUAGCGGCGGACGGGUGAGUAAUGCUUAGGAAUCUGCCUAUUAGUGGGGGACAACGUUCCGAAAGGAAUGCUAAUACCGCAUACGUCCUACGGGAGAAAGCAGGGGAUCUUCGGACCUUGCGCUAAUAGAUGAGCCUAAGUCGGAUUAGCUAGUUGGUGGGGUAAAGGCCUACCAAGGCGACGAUCUGUAGCGGGUCUGAGAGGAUGAUCCGCCACACUGGGACUGAGACACGGCCCAGACUCCUACGGGAGGCAGCAGUGGGGAAUAUUGGACAAUGGGCGGAAGCCUGAUCCAGCCAUGCCGCGUGUGUGAAGAAGGCCUUUUGGUUGUAAAGCACUUUAAGCGAGGAGGAGGCUACCUAGAUUAAUACUCUGGGAUAGUGGACGUUACUCGCAGAAUAAGCACCGGCUAACUCUGUGCCAGCAGCCGCCGUAAUAC
rnacentral:rRNA from 1 species